rnacentral:misc_RNA from 1 species
AACCAUUCUCACCUGCGGCUAGACCUGCGGAGGGAUCAUUAUUGAUUUUUAAAGGAUGUGCUGGCUCUUCUUGGAGCAAUGUGCACUCCUAACAAAAAGCCAAUAUCCACCUGUGCACCUUUAGUAGGCAGGAAAAGACCUUGCCCAAGGGCUUUUUUUUGUCUAUGUUUUUUUAUCACAAACCCUUGAUCUAUUUGAAUGCUUUAUACAAACAAAUAAUAUUUUGUAACACAACUUUUA